GACGAACGCUGGCGGCGUGCUUAACACAUGCAAGUCGAACGGAAAGGCCCUGCUUUUGUGGGGUGCUCGUGUGGCGAACGGGUGAGUAACACGUGAGUAACCUGUCCUUGACUUUGGGAUAACUUCAGGAAACUCGGGCUAAUACCGGAUAGGAGCUUCUGCUGCACGGUGGUGGAUGGAAAGUUUCGGUGGUUGGGGAUGGACUCGCGGCUUAUCAGCUUGUUGGGGAGGUUGUGGCUUACCAAGGCUUGGACGGGUAGCCGGCCUGAGAGGGUGACCGGCGACAAUGGAACGGGGACGCGGUCAUGAGUCCUACGGGAGGCAGCAGUAGGGAAUGUUCGGCAAUGGGCGAAAGCAUGACGGAGCAGGGCGGAGUGAGUUAUGAAGGUCUUGGGAUCGGAAAACCGUGUUAUUAGGGAAGAACAUAUGUGUAAGUAACUGUGCACAUCGUGACGGUACCGAAUCAGAAAGCAACGGCUAACUACGUG
rnacentral:rRNA from 1 species